rnacentral:rRNA from 1 species
UACGAAGGGGGCUAGCGUUGCUCGGAAUCACUGGGCGUAAAGGGUGCGUAGGCGGGUCUUUAAGUCAGGGGUGAAAUCCUGGAGCUCAACUCCAGAACUGCCUUUGAUACUGAGGAUCUUGAGUUCGGGAGAGGUGAGUGGAACUGCGAGUGUAGAGGUGAAAUUCGUAGAUAUUCGCAAGAACACCAGUGGCCGAAGGCGGCUCACUGGCCCGAUACUGACGCUGAGGCACGAAAGCGUGGGAGCAAACAGG